UAUGCAUAGUGCAGCCAAGGAUGACUUGCCGGUGUACUCAUAAAUCUAUUUUUGGAUUCGUUUUUUUUUUCUUAAAACCCAAAACGCCGCACUCAAAAGGUGAUAACUUUCGUUUGUGUCCAAUAAUGCAUCCGCUAAAUAUUUGUUUUUAAACAAACGUUAUAUAGCCAUUUUAAGGGUAUUUCGACUGACUUUAGUCAUGUUUUCAUACAAUUAAAAGUAAAUGUACCUUUAAUUUAUCGGCAAGUUUUACUUGGCUACGAUAUCUAUCCG
rnacentral:pre_miRNA from 1 species